UCUAGAAAAUGAUGCCUCCAAAACGAGAAGCUGGGUGACAUUGUCCAAUAAAACUGCUUCAUCAACUCCAAGUAAUUUGAACACCGCUUGCAUAUACUUUACGUAACCAAUCAGUUGUCGACGUUGUUGCUUUAAUAACAAAAAUGAUAAAAAAUACAUCAUAUUGAAGUUGCAUGCAAUGUUGACUCGUAUACACCCCUACAUGGCAAUUAGUGUCACAGUGAAAAUUACGCUAGAAAGUCGGCUGACGAGCUCAGAUAGGUAUAACGAGCUACGAG